ACAUACGACCACAGCCGCCAGAGAAAAUCAGGAACCCGUCUGAUCUCCCAGGAUAACCUAGCGAGCGCCGGAUUAGUAGUUGGCUCGGUGACGACCAGCGAAUACCCGGUGUUGUAUGUU
rnacentral:rRNA from 1 species